CGGUACACUCUCUCUCUCUCUCUCUCCUGAAAUCACUUUGAUCUUAUUCUCUGGUCACUCUCACCUCUGUUUUAGUGAGAACUGAGUGAGUAUCUCUCAACCUCCGUGUUGAUUUGGAGAUUUCGCUUGGGUUUCGAAUGGACUUUGGUGGUGUUUGCGAGGUGAUUUGUUGGUUCGUUACAAAGAUAGCCGAGGCAAAGCAGCAAUUAGAGGUUCCCUAAGGUUUGGGGUUCGAUUGGUCUCGCUGUGCUCCCUUGUGAUUUGUUGUUGAAGAUAGAGGAGGUCACUGGCCCUGUGAAGUUGCGUGUGCAACCUGAGCUACAUCCUAUAUCUUCUAACUCUAUUUCCUGAGGUUACUUGUUCAGAUCCACUUGGAUCUGAUUUCACAGUGUUACUGACGUUUUACUUAGUGUGCAGGAAGACUACAAGGGAUGCUUGGUUGAGAGUCAGACCCGGAGGAGGCUGUGACUAGUGCUAGGGUUUAGCUUGUAUAGAUAUCUUGUAUAUUGUUCUUCUUCUUUGAUUGUAUUUAGUCUGUGUCUUGGGAGAUUGACCAUCUCCGACUUGCGGUGUAAUCAAAGAUGUCUCAAUAAUUAGUGAAUCUCAAAUGCUCUGAUCCCUACAAAUAUAUUUGGUAAAUUAACAUGUUGUUUA